GAUGAACGCUGGCGGCGUGCCUAAUACAUGCAAGUCGAGCGAACAGACCAGGCGUUUGUUCCUUUGACGUUAGCCGCACGCGGGUGUGUAACACGUGUAUCACCCCCCUAUAAGUCUGGGAUAAUCUCGAGACACCGGCGCUUACACCGUAUAAUCUCUUGAUCCGUAUGGUUCGUUAGUGAAUGUCGGUUUUUGGGUCACUACUCGAUGGUUCCGCGCCGCAUUAGCUAGUUGGUAAGGUACCGGCUUACCAAGGCAACGAUGCGUAGCCGACCUGAGAGGGUGAUCGGCCACACUGGAACUGAGACACGGUCCAGACUCCUACGGGAGGCAGCAGUAGGGAAUCUUCCGCAAUGGGCGAAAGCCUGACGGAGCAACGCCGCGUGAGUGAUGAAGGUCUUCGGAUCGUAAAACUCUGUUAUUAGGGAAGAACAAAUGUGUAAGUAACUAUGCACGUCUUGACGGUACCUAAUCAGAAAGCCACGGCUAACUACGUG
rnacentral:rRNA from 1 species